rnacentral:lncRNA from 1 species
AAAAUGACUCGCGCAAAUGUCGCAUCCACUGCAUACGUAUCUCAUCUGAAUAUGAGAAUCAGAGUCUUCGUAGCUCGGCUGACCUAUGGGUUGGGGAUGUGUGCUCGCUAAGACAUCGCAUCUUAUGCCUACGUAUCUCAUCUGGAAUGAGAAUCAGAGCAAGCCGUAGUUCGGCUAACUACGGGGUUAUGGAUUGGGUUUUGGACGAAC